GAUGAACGCUGGCGGCGUGCCUAACACAUGCAAGUCGAACGAAGCACCUUACCUGAUUCUUCGGAUGAAAGUUUGGUGACUGAGUGGCGGACGGGUGAGUAACGCGUGGGUAACCUGCCCUGUACAGGGGGAUAACAGCUGGAAACGGCUGCUAAUACCGCAUAAGCGCACGAGGAGACAUCUCCUUGUGUGAAAAACUCCGGUGGUACAGGAUGGGCCCGCGUCUGAUUAGCUGGUUGGCAGGGUAACGGCCUACCAAGGCAACGAUCAGUAGCCGGUCUGAGAGGAUGAACGGCCACAUUGGAACUGAGACACGGUCCAAACUCCUACGGGAGGCAGCAGUGGGGAAUAUUGCACAAUGGGGGAAACCCUGAUGCAGCAACGCCGCGGGAGUGAAGAAGUAUUUCGGUAUGUAAAGCUCUAUCAGCAGGGAAGAUAAUGACGGUACCUGACUAAGAAGCUCCGGCUAAAUACGU
rnacentral:rRNA from 1 species